UACCAGCACCCCGAGUGGUCGGGACGAUUAUUGGGCCUAAAGCAUCCGUAGCCGGUUCUACAAGUCUUCCGUUAAAUCCACCUGCUUAACAGAUGGGCUGCGGAGGGUACUAUGGAGCUAGGAGGCGGGAGAGGCAAGCGGUACUUAGUGGGUAGGGGUAAAAUCCGUUGAUCCAUUGAAGACCACCAGUGGCGAAGGCGGCUUGCCAGAACGCACUCGACGGUGAGGGAUGAAAGCUGGGGGAGCAAACCGG
rnacentral:rRNA from 1 species